rfam:Ciona savignyi cont_2809, whole genome shotgun sequence.
GGUCCUGUGCCCCAUUGGAUAAGGCGCCAGACUACGAAUCAGGAGAUUCCAGGUUCGAGUCCUGGCAGGAUCG